UACUAUGCUGUUUGGUGUUAACUGACG
rnacentral:piRNA from 1 species